CUGGCUCAGGACGAACGCUGGCGGCGUGCCUAAUACAUGCAAGUCGAGCGGACCGACGGGAGCUUGCUCCCUUAGGUCAGCGGCGGACGGGUGAGUAACACAUGGGUAACCUGCCUGUAAGACUGGGAUAACUCCGGGAAACCGGGGCUAAUACCGGAUGCUUGAUUGAACCGCAUGGUUCAAUCAUAAAAGGUGGCUUUUAGCUACCACUUGCAGAUGGACCCGCGGCGCAUUAGCUAGUUGGUGAGGUAACGGCUCACCAAGGCGACGAUGCAUAGCCGACCUGAGAGGGUGAUCGGCCACACUGGGACUGAGACACGGCCCAGACUCCUACGGGAGGCAGCAGUAGGGAAUCUUCCGCAAUGGACGAAAGUCUGACGGAGCAACGCCGCGUGAGUGAUGAAGGUUUUCGGAUCGUAAAACUCUGUUGUUAGGGAAGAACAAGUACCGUUCGAAUAGGGCGGCACCUUGACGGUACCUAACCAGAAAGCCACGGCUAACUACGUGCCAGCAGCCGC
rnacentral:rRNA from 1 species